ensembl:lncRNA HULC hepatocellular carcinoma up-regulated long non-coding RNA
GAAACCCUAAUCUCCAGUGUGAUGGUAUUUGGAGGUGGGGCCUUUGGGAGGUAACUGGGCUUGGAUGAGGUCAUGGGGGUGGAACUCAUGAUGGAAUUGGAGCCUUUACAAGGGAAUGAAGAGACAAGAGCUCUCUUUAUGCCACGUGAGGAUACAGCAAGGCCCCAAUCUGCAAGCCAGGAAGAGUCGUCACGAGAACCAGACCAUGCAGGAACUCUGAUCGUGGACAUUUCAACCUCCAGAACUGUGAUCCAAAAUGCAUAUGUAUCUUUGGAAGAAACUCUGAAGUAAAGGCCGGAAUAUUCUUUGUUUAAAACAUUAAAAACAAAACAGACCAAAGCAUCAAGCAAGAAGUUUCCUGGCAAUAAACUAAGCACAGCAUUAUUUUUUAAGGAACACAAAUUAAGUGUUCAACCUGUGGCAAAUUUGUACUUUCUCCCUGAAUUAUGUUGUUAUCAAAGAAAAAAAUUGGGAAGCAUGGCAAAAUAUCAUCAAAACUGAAACUAGAAUUAAACAAAACUAAAUUAAAAUGAAAUAAAAUGAUGUCCAUUCUUAAUUCAUCCUCACAACUGGGCCACUAGUUUUAUGCAUCUUGGCAGCCAAUAUUUUUGUCUCUAGGGCAUAAAUUAUGCAUCAGGUACCUCUGAAACUCAGAGACCAAGGAAAAAGGAGGUAAUUUGGAAGGUGAAAUAAAUGUAAACAUUCUGAAGAAAGAAUCAAAUCUGUACUUCAGGGUCAAAGAUGAAAUUCAAAAGGGGUUGACAAUGCAUAGAAAAAAGUGCUGAAUUUAAAGUUGGUUUUAUUAUUAUCAUUGUUAUUUGAACCAAUAAUUAAAUCCAGUAAGUCUAGAGCAAUGAUCAUAAUUCUGUACUGUUGUUUUUCUAUUUUAGAAUCCAGUGUACUGUUUCCAAGAGCUUGGCAAAAAAAAAAAAAAAAAAAAAAAAAAA